GUGUCUGCGUGUAAUCUCGCGUGUCUGGAUGCAGAAAGUUCUCUCUCAUCCUAAAUGUACAGCAGCCGUUCGACAAACAUCAUUUAGUAAAGAUGGAAGAUCCCACAAGAAUGGAGUUGUGAAAGUCCC